rnacentral:rRNA from 1 species
GACGAACGCUGGCGGCGUGCCUAAUACAUGCAAGUCGAGCGGACCAAAGGGAGCUUGCUCCUGGAGGUUAGCGGCGAACGGGUGAGUAACACGUGGGCAACCUGCCUGUAAGACUGGGAUAACAUCGAGAAAUCGGUGCUAAUACCGGAUAAUAAAAGAACUGCAUGGUCUUUUUUGAAAGAUGGUUUCGGCUAUCACUUACAGAUGGGCCCGCGGCGCAUUAGCUAGUUGGUGAGGUAACGGCUCACCAAGGCAACGACGCGUAGCCGACCUGAGAGGGUGAUCGGCCACACUGGGACUGAGACACGGCCCAGACUCCUACGGGAGGCAGCAGUAGGGAAUCUUCCGCAAUGGACGAAAGUCUGACGGAGCAACGCCGCGUGAGUGAUGAAGGUUUUCGGAUCGUAAAACUCUGUUGUUAGGGAAGAACAAGUGCCGUUCGAAAGGGCGGCACCUUGACGGUACCUAACGAGAAAGCCACGGCUAACUACGUGCCAGCAGCCGCGGUAAAGU